UUUUUCUUUUAAAAAAAAAUUUAUUAUAAUUGCUUUACAAUGUUCUGUCAAGUUCUACUAUAUAGCAAAGUGGCCCAGUUACACAUACAUACGCAUUUUUUCUCACAUUAUCCUCCAUCAUGUUCCAUCACAAGCGACUGGAUGUAGUUCCCUGUGCUACACAGCAGGAUCUCAUUGCUUAUCCGCUCCAAAUGCAAUAGUCUGCUUCUACUGACCCCCGACUUCCGCUCCCUCCCCCUCCCUCAUGGCAACCCCAAGUCUGUUCUCCAGGUCCAUGAGUUUGUUUCUUUUCCGUAUAUAGGUUUGUUUGUGCCAGAUAUUAGAUUCCACAUAUGUGAUAUCAUAUGGUAUUUGUCUUUCUCUGACUUACUUCACAUAGUAUGAGAAUCUAUAGGUCCAUCCAUGUUGCUGCAAAUGGCAUUACUUUGUUCUUUUUUUUAUGGCUGAGUAGUCAGAUCUUUUUCAUGUUUUUUCCAUUAUGGUUUAUUACAGGAUAUUGCAUAUAGUUCCCUGUACUAUAUAGUAGGAUCUUGUCAUUCUGUAAAUGACAUUUCAUGUCUUUUAAUCCCAAAUUCUCAAUCUGUCCCUCCCCAAUCCCCCUCCCUCCAUGGCAACCACCAGUGUUCUCUGUGAGUCUGUUCCUUUUGUGUAGGUAAGUUCAUUUCCUUUAUAUCUUUGAUUCCAAAUACAUGUGAAAUGAAACUGUAUUUGUGUUUCUCUUUGACUUACUUCAUGUACUAUGAUCACCUCUAGGUCUAUUUUGCUGCAAACGAUAUUAUUUCAUUCUUUCUCAUGGCUGAGAAUUCAGUCAUGAAAGACAGUAGAAACAUCAAAGAUAACCGAUUACAGACAUUAUAACAAAUAAUGCAAAAAGUUAAAAUAUCGUGAUAAUUACCAAAAUGUGACAGAGACAUGAAAUGACGCAAUGCUCUUGGGAAAAUGGUGCAAGGCAAUGAUCCCUGCAGGGUGGCCAGGAGCCCUCAAUUUGCAAAAAUGCGAUUAUCUGUGAAGGCAAUAAAACAAAGUGCAAUAAGGAGUUCCCACUGCAGUGCACUGGAUAAAGGAUCCGGGGUUGACACAGCUGUUGCACAACAGGAUCGGGAGAAUCUCUGCACCAAGGGGGAAAAAAAAAAAAAAAAAACUUAUUAUGGUAGAAAAUCAACUAUGUGACUUAUUCCUAAUUUCCGUAACUUUUAUUUGAAAAUUUUAAGGGCUUUGGAUAACUGCUGUCCUACUAGUAAAUUUCUUAGUAAUGUUUUAUAAACAUUACCACAUAUUAACUUUUAUCAAACUAGUCUAAAAAAUACUUUAGGCAAUUUAGUUCAACAGUUUGUUACAAACAUUUAAAACAAUCAUAUUGUGCAAUGAAGGCGUGUGUGCUGUAAUAAAAGAAAUACGGGAGUUCCCGUUGUGGCUCAGCGGUUAACGAACCCAACUAGGAUCCAUGAAGUUUCGGGUUUGACCCCUGGCCUCGCUCAGGGGGUUAAGGACACAGCAUUGCCGUGAGCUGUGGGGUAGGUUGCAGAGGCGACUCGGAUCCCACGUGGCUGUGACGGUGGCUGGCAGCUGUAGCUCCAAUUUGACCCCUGUUCUGGGAACUUCCACAUGCCGUGGAUGUGGCCUUAAAAAGCAAAAAAAAAAAA
rnacentral:lncRNA from 1 species